rnacentral:lncRNA from 1 species
CUAAUCCCUGUCUCCAUCUGCAUUUUGCAUAAGGCUACUUUUCUGCCUUCCGAGGUUAAGCUCUACCUCCAUCAUCAUCUGCAUAAGGCUACUUUUCUGCUUUCCGAGGUUAAGCUCUACCUCCAUCAUCAUCUGCAUAAGGCUACUUAUCUGCCUUUCGAGACUAAGCCCUGUCUCCAUCUGCAUUUUGCAUAAGGCUACUUUUCUGCCUUCCGAGGUUAAGCUCUACCUCCAUCAUCAUCUGCAUAAGGCUACUUAUCUGCCUUUCGAGUCU